AUGUUCCCACAGGAAAUGCCCUCCACAGCCAAGGGAGGUUUUAGGUGGGAAUUGAAGGCCCAUGCUUCUCUGGUUUUUCUGUGGAUUCCAGCAGGAGAAAAGGGACAGCAACAGAUCCAGCUUGACUUGAAGUGAAUAGACUUCUUUUAGUAAGAUUUUGAUUGACCCCUUAUUUUCUACAGAACAGUUGUUUUUUCUGAUAUAAAAGUGGCAAGGAAGAAAAGGUUAUUUUUUAAAAUUUCAUUUAUUGGGUAUUUAUCAGUCAACAAAAUAUGUUUUGUAAAUUUCCAGGUCAACUAGGAUAGUAACAACAGACUUGAUUGUUACCAUAGCAUCAGAAACUUUUUUUCUUUUUAAAUAGAAAGACAAGAAUGUGUUUGCUAAUGCCUUUCAGAAAAAAGAAGAGACUAUUUAAAAGGUGGUCAUAUUUUAGGGAUCUGGCUUUUAUUGUUACUCUAUCCCAGCAUAGGAUACUAUAUUUAUUAAAAAAAAGACGUUAAAUGAUUUUGUGUUUAUAUUUAUUGUCAGCAAUAUGUCAGUUAUGUAAAAAUAACCCAGAUGAAAAUGUAAGACUUGUUACAUUUUCCCAUCAUCUGUAUUAACUGAAUAAAGCUUAGUGACAAUAUACA
rnacentral:lncRNA from 1 species